rnacentral:rRNA from 1 species
UACGAAGGGGGCUAGCGUUGCUCGGAAUUACUGGGCGUAAAGCGCACGUAGGCGGCUUUCUAAGUCGGGGGUGAAAUCCUGGAGCUCAACUCCAGAACUGCCUUCGAUACUGGAGAGCUUGAGUCCGGGAGAGGUGAGUGGAACUGCGAGUGUAGAGGUGAAAUUCGUAGAUAUCAAGCAGAACACCUGCGGCGAAGGCGGCCUUCUGGACGAUGACUGACGCUGAGACGCGAAAGCGUGGGGAGCAAACAGG